AUCAACGCUGGCGGCGUGCCUCAGACAUGCAAGUCGAACGAUUAAAGCUCUCUUCGGAGAGUGCAUAGAGUGGCGCACGGGUGAGUAACACGUAAGUAAUCUACCCUCGAGUGGGGAAUAACGUCCGGAAACGGACGCUAAUACCGCAUAAUGCAGCGGCACCGCAAGGUGACAGUUGUUAAAGAUUUAUCGCUUGAGGAGGAGCUUGCGGCAGAUUAGCUAGUUGGUAAGGUAAUGGCUUACCAAGGCUACGAUCUGUAACCGGUCUAAGAGGACGGUCGGUCACACUGACACUGAAUAACGGGUCAGACUCCUACGGGAGGCAGCAGUCGGGAAUUUUGGGCAAUGGGGGAAACCCUGACCCAGCAACGCCGCGUGAAGGAUGAAGUAUUUCGGUAUGUAAACUUCGAAAGAAUAGGAAGAAUUAAUGACGGUACUAUUUAUAAGGUCCGGCUAACUACGU
rnacentral:rRNA from 1 species